GCACUAUUAGCUCAGUUGGUAGAGCACCUGACUCUUAAUCAGGGUGUCCAGGGUUCGAACCCCUGAUAGUGUA
rnacentral:tRNA from 1 species